rnacentral:tRNA from 1 species
AGGUCAGUAGCUUAAUUGGUAGAGCAGCGGUCUCCAAAAUCGCAAGUUGGGGUUCAACUCCCUACUGGCCUG